CCUACGGGUGGCAGCAGUCGAGAAUCAUUCACAAUGGGGGAAACCCUGAUGGUGCGACGCCGCGUGGGGGAAUGAAGGUCUUCGGAUUGUAAACCCCUGUCAUGUGGGAGCAAAUUAAAAAGAUAGUACCACAAGAGGAAGAGACGGCUAACUCUGUGCCAGCAGCCGCGGUAAUACAGAGGUCUCAAGCGGUGUUCGGAAUCACUGGGCGUAAGGCGUGCGUAGGCUGUUUCGUAAGUCGUGUGUGAAAGGCGCGGGCUCAACCCGCGGACGGCAGAUGAUACUGCGAGACUAGAGUAAUGGAGGGGGAACCGGAAUUCUCGGUGUAGCAGUGAAAUGCGUAGAUAUCGAGAGGAACACUCGUGGCGAAGGCGGGUUCCUGGACAUUAACUGACGCUGAGGCACGAAGGCCAGGGGAGCGAAAGGGAUUAGAUACCCCUGUAGUC
rnacentral:rRNA from 1 species